ensembl:miRNA Mir7016 microRNA 7016
CGACUCAGGGAGGGGAGCGAGAGUAGGCCACUAUGGACAUGCUGAGCCUGACCUGCCUCCUGCUCUCCCCAG